rnacentral:tRNA from 1 species
GAGGGUGUGGCUUAGUGGUAGAGCUCCUGCUCUGCAUGUAGAAGGUCCCAGGUUCAAUCCCUGGUAUCUUUA